UAGGGAAUCUUCCGCAAUGGACGCAAGUCUGACGGAGCAACGCCGCGUGAGUGAAGAAGGAUUUCGGUUCGUAAAACUCUGUUGUUAGAGAAGAACAGCGCAUAGAGUAACUGUUAUGCGUGUGACGGUAUCUAACCAGAAAGCCACGGCUAACUACGUGCCAGCAGCCGCGGUAAUACGUAGGUGGCAAGCGUUGUCCGGAUUUAUUGGGCGUAAAGCGAGCGCAGGCGGUCAAUUAAGUCUGAUGUGAAAGCCCCCGGCUCAACCGGGGAGGGUCAUUGGAAACUGGUUGACUUGAGUGCAGAAGAGGAGAGUGGAAUUCCAUGUGUAGCGGUGAAAUGCGUAGUUAUAUGGAGGAACACCAGUGGCGAGGGCGACUCUCUGGUCUGUAACUGACGCUGAGGCUCGAAAGCGUGGGUAGCAAACAGG
rnacentral:rRNA from 1 species